GGGCAAGAGAUAUUGGUACUGGCUGUCUCUCUGGCUCAGCUGCUGUGUUGGUGGAGGCGACUGGUAUUGGCUCUGCCUGUUUCUCUGGCCCAGCUGCUGGGCCAGUAGUUCAUUCUCAGAUCCUGC